rnacentral:rRNA from 1 species
AGUGAACGCUGGCGGCAGGCCUAAUACAUGCAAGUCGAACGGCAGCACAGCAGAGCUUGCUCUGUGGGUGGCGAGUGGCGGACGGGUGAGGAAUACAUGGGAAUCUGCCCAGUCGUGGGGGAUAACGUAUGGAAACGUACGCUAAUACCGCAUGCGCCCUAAGGGGGAAAGCCGGGGACCGCAAGGCCUGGCGCGAUUGGAUGAGCCCAUGUUCGAUUAGCUAGUUGGCGGGGUAAAGGCCCACCAAGGCGACGAUCGAUAGCUGGUCUGAGAGGAUGAUCAGCCACACUGGAACUGAGACACGGUCCAGACUCCUACGGGAGGCAGCAGUAGGGAAUAUUGGACAAUGGGGGCAACCCUGAUCCAGCCAUGCCGCGUGAGUGAAGAAGGCCCUCGGGUU